AACGAACGCUGGCGGCGUGGAUUAGGCAUGCAAGUCGAACGCGAAAGAGGGAGCAAUCCCUCGAGUAGAGUGGCGAACGUGUGAGUAACGCGUGAAGAACCUGCCUUCAACAGGGGGAUAACACUCCCAACGGGGUGCUAAUACCGCAUGAGACCACGGGUCUGCAUGGGCCUGAGGUCAAAGGUGGCCUCUGCUUGCAAGCUACCGGUUGAAGAUGGCUUCGCGUCCCAUUAACUAGUUGGCGGUGUAAAAGACCACCAAGGCGACGAUGGGUAGCUGGUCUGAGAGGAUGGUCAGCCACACUGGGACUGAGAUACGGCCCAGACUCCUACGGGAGGCAGCAGUCGAGAGGCUUUGGCAAUGGGGGAAACCCUGACCAAGCGACGCCGCGUGGAGGAUGAAGGCCCUUGGGUUGUAAACUCCUUUCGUCGGGGAAGAAAUGCGAUCAGGUUAAUAAUCUGGUCGUUUGACGGUACCCGGCGAAUAAGCUCCGGCUAACUCCGUGCCAGCAGCCGCGGUAACACGGGGGGAGCAAGCGUUGUUCGGAAUCACUGGGCGUAAAGGGCGUGUAGGCGGUUAGGUAAGUGGGAUGUGAAAUGCCUCGGCUCACCCGAGGACCGGCAUCCCAAACUGCCCGACUUGAGUAUGGGAGAGGAUGUGGGAAUUCCUGGUGUAGCGGUGAAAUGCGUAGAUAUCAGGAGGAACACCGGUGGCGAAGGCGCACAUCUGGCCCAAUACUGAUGCUGAGGCGCGAA
rnacentral:rRNA from 1 species